rnacentral:rRNA from 1 species
AACGAACGCUGGCGGCAGGCUUAACACAUGCAAGUCGAGCGGAGUUGUGGUGCUUGCACCAUAACUUAGCGGCGGACGGGUGAGUAAUGCUUAGGAAUCUGCCUAUUAGUGGGGGACAACAUCUCGAAAGGGAUGCUAAUACCGCAUACGUCCUACGGGAGAAAGCAGGGGAUCUUCGGACCUUGCGCUAAUAGAUGAGCCUAAGUCGGAUUAGCUAGUUGGUGGGGUAAAGGCCUACCAAGGCGACGGUCGGUAGCGGGUCUGAGAGGAUGAUCCGCCACACUGGGACUGAGACACGGCCCAGACUCCUACGGGAGGCAGCAGUGGGGAAUAUUGGACAAUGGGGGGAACCCUGAUCCAGCCAUGCCGCGUGUGUGAAGAAGGCCUUUUGGUUGUAAAGCACUUUAAGCGAGGAGGAGGCUACUGGUAUUAAUACUACCGGAUAGUGGACGUUACUCGCAGAAUAAGCACCGGCUAACUCUGUGCCAGCAGCCGCUGUAACAC